UCCUGACUGACCGAUAGUGAACCAGUACCGUGAGGGAAAGGCGAAAAGAACCCCGGCGAGGGGAGUGAAAAAGAACCUGAAACCGUGUACGUACAAGCAGUGGGAGCACAGGUUUACCUGUGUGACUGCGUACCUUUUGUAUAAUGGGUCAGCGACUUAUAUUCUGUAGCAAGGUUAACCGAAUAGGGGAGCCGGAGGGAAACCGAGUCUUAAUUGGGCGUUAAGUUGCAGGGUAUAGACCCGAAACCCGGUGAUCUAGCCAUGGGCAGGUUGAAGGUUGGGUAACACUAACUGGAGGACCGAACCGACUAAUGUUGAAAAAUUAGCGGAUGACCUGUGGCUGGGGGUGAAAGGCCAAUCAAACCGGGAGAUAGCUGGUUCUCCCCGAAAGCUAUUUAGGUAGCGCCUCGUGAAUUCAUCUCCGGGGGUAGAGCACUGUUUCGGCUAGGGGGCCAUCCCGGCUUACCAACCCGAUGCAAACUGCGAAUACCGGAGAAUGUUAUCACGGGAGACACACGGCGGGUGCUAACGUCCGUCGUGAAGAGGGAAACAACCCAGACCGCCAGCUAAGGUCCCAAAGUCAUGGUUAAGUGGGAAACGAUGUGGGAAGGCCCAGACAGCCAGGAUGUUGGCUUAGAAGCAGCCAUCAUUUAAAGAAAGCGUAAUAGCUCACUGGUCGAGUCGGCCUGCGCGGAAGAUGUAACGGGGCUAAACCAUGCACCGAAGCUGCGGCAGCGACGCUGAUGCGUUGUUGGGUAGGGGAGCGUUCUGUAAGCCUGCGAAGGUGGCCUGUGAGGGUUGCUGGAGGUAUCAGAAGUGCGAAUGCUGACAUAAGUAACGAUAAAGCGGGUGAAAAGCCCGCUCGCCGGAAGACCAAGGGUUCCUGUCCAACGUUAAUCGGGGCAGGGUGAGUCGACCCCUAAGGCGAGGCCGAAAGGCGUAGUCGAUGGGAAACGGGUUAAUAUUCCCGUACUUGGUGUUACUGCGAAGGGGGGACGGAGAAGGCUAUGUUGGCCGGGCGACGGUUGUCCCGGUUUAAGCGUGUAGGUGUGUGUUCCAGGUAAAUCCGGUU
rnacentral:rRNA from 1 species